rnacentral:lncRNA from 1 species
CUUUUUGUUCCACAUCAGGGAAUUCACAGGGUAUCCAUUAGAAACCAUAUCACAUUUACAAGGCUCCACGGACUUCCUUAAGCCUUGAUGCUCCAACGGGUUAUACAGGCUAAGAGGUGGGGAUGAGUGCAGAUCCGAAGUGGGUGGGUGAGGAUCUCCCAGCCUCUCAGCCCUGGCACGGGGACUUGCUUUUCUCCAGGCUAUCUGGUUCUCUCUGUUUAUUCUCUGCCUGCUUUCCUUGUGUCUCUCGUUGUUUCUCUCUAAAUCUCCAUCUUUCCCUCUCUGUCCCUCUCCCCCUCCCUCCUUUCCUCUCUGUCUUUGUAACUCUCCCUCAAUUUUACUCAUUUUAGUGGUUCACUCUUUGGAUCUAGGACCUUGGUCAGCAUGAGCAUUGCACUCACAGAGAGGGUGACACGUUUCCUGAUGCCUGAAAGAGAGAAAUAAGAUGGCCCAGGAGACUCCAGGGCACUCUGCCCACUAAGCAUCUUUUUGUGAGUGAGAGGCCAUUUCUCCAGCUGUCCAUUGCAGCAUUCCACAACCCAGACUGCUGCUGUCCAUGCUGAUUGGUGUUUGAGAGGGCAGAAUGGACCCCUGAUUCACUUCCCAUCAGGAACACUUGCCACCAGGAAACCCCCUCAAUCUACUCUUCCCUUGCCCUUUAAGACCUUCUAUUUCAGGGUCCUCCCCCUGCCAGAUUGAAAGAUGACAGACUGAGGACAAGCCCUAAGGGGACAGAGAGUCUAAGGCUCCAUGUUCCAACUCUGCAAGCCCCACCUCAGCUCAACUCAACACCUUAGACCUUCAGCUCACAGUUCUCUACAGGACACUUGUGAAAACUUGGAAAAUAUUAAUUGCUUAACAGUCCGCUUGCAAGUUGAACAGGCAGAUAAGGAGGAAAAGCCUUUCUUCUUUGACAAGCUUUCCAUGAAACAUAACCCCAGAACACGAGUGCCCAGAUGUAUACAUUCCAGGCAUGAAAAUGAAGGAUAAUUCUCCAAAAAGACUGACUGGCCCUUGGGACAAGAUCCACAGAGACUUCAUCUGAAACGUUCUUCAUCAAUCAAGAUCAUUUUUACUCAACACAACUUGUCACUCAAGUUUAAUGACCUUCACUACCAGAAGCCCAGAGUUCUAGAGUUAACUGCAUCCUACUUGACCCUGGUGUGGUAUUGGCCAACAAAGAGGCAGCAGGACAAAGAACACACAAUGGAGCUUGGGGCUCAACAACCUGGGAUCUGGGGCCAGACUCCACUUUGAAACUUUGGGCAAGUUAUUUCACCUCUUUCGGCUUUUAUUCCUUCCUCUGUAAAAUUAUCCUCUCUCCCCAAAAAUAACUGUUUGGUGAAUCUUAACCUCUUUUAUGAUUCUGUUACAUUUUACAAUUCUUCCUUCAAGAGAGAGCUCUGCACAAGACUCUGAGUAACAAUUGAAGAGAUGGAUCCAAGCCUCAGUUGGGCUGAUGAGAG